rnacentral:sRNA from 1 species
UGUAAAAGCUGCCACAGACACUACAUGAACACGAAUGAGUGUGGCUGGUGUUCCAAUAAAACUUUAUUUACACAAACAGGUGGCCCUUUUGGGCUGUAGUUUGUCAACCCUUGCUCUAACCCUUGACUGAGAGCUACUUUAUUAAGCCCUGAGGGCAGGAGCUAUCCCAAUUUUGUGCUCCCCAGGGCACCAAAACACAGUGCUUUGGCAUAGAGUAGGCACUCAACAAAUGUGUGAACAGAUGGAGAGCCAGCCCUAGUCAGUGCACUCACCCUUUGAGGCUCUGGUUCCUCCAAACAAUGAUUCGUUGUCUGGAUUGGCUGGAACUGUCACCCCCGCAAUUCUACUCCCCACCCACCCAUGUGAUCUUAAUGUCAGUUGCUGGUCUGUUGCUCUUCGGGGAGGGAGAGAUGGCCUGGAUACAGAGCUAAGCAAAUGCUUCUUGAAGGGCCCUUAAAAGUGAAAAGUAACUUGCAAGAGGUUGCAGUGAGCCGAGAUUGCGCCACUGCACU